rnacentral:lncRNA from 10 species
GGAAUUCUAGCCAAUGCCUCUUUCAUUUCUUAUAGAGAAACACAAGUCGAUUUUUGAUGCUUAUUAAAAAAAAGUGAUUCCUUGAUUCAUAUCUUAACUGAAAAUUAUAACUUAUUAACAAAGGGUAAGAACAUCAGAACUAUCCAUAAUAAUUGGUCUUGGUCUAUCACACAAAUAUUUGUUCCCUUCCUACACAGGACUGUUUUCUGGGAGCAAAGAAUCACUGUGGAUUUAGCAAGGACCUUGGAAGCCCCCAGGAUGCUUUACACUGGAUUUCAUUAGCUGCCCGGUAUUCCUUUGAGGUCGGUCACAUAUGCAAAUGAGUCUGCUAUCACUCCUGGUCCCAGUGGACAGCAGCCCGGAUUACCCAGCCCUUGCACAUUGCAGCAAGACCAGCGGGAAGAAGCUGCAGUGCCCCUGGCCAGGAUGGCCUGUUAGAGCUGAAUCCGAUGAAGGUGAUGUGAUGCCUGCCCCCUGUGCCGGGUCUAGAUGAACUGAAGAGUUCAAGGUUGCCAGGGGAGUCCUUGAUCCUUAAAGCACUGGGAGACCAGCUGUCAAUGGUGGAGAAACCCCGGAAGCCCUGAAUUCAUGAGUACCUGGGCAUGGAGGAGUUUCACACAAAAGGAAAGAACUGGGAAGCCAGCAACCUGCAGAAGAGGCCAUGGACAAGGGGUGCAGACCCAAAAACCUUGGGGGCUGGGCAGGCAGGGAAGAGAAGCAGGCAGGAGGGACCUCAGCUGCCUAACGGGGUGGCCAACUGCUGCCUUCUGGGAAUGCAGUGUUGUCCAUUUUCCAAUCCCUCAGAAUCCAGAAACUAGGGCCAGGCACGGUGGCUUAUGCCUGUAAUCUCUGUACUUUGGGAGGCAGGAGGAUUGCGUAAACCCAGGAGUUGGAGACCAGCCUGGGUAAUACAGCAAGACCUUGUCUCUAAAAAAAAAAGUUUUAAAAUUAGCCAGGCAUCGGCUGGGCAAGAUGGCUCAUGCCUGUAAUCCCAGCACUUUGGGAGGCCGAGGCGGGCGGAUCACGAGGUCAGGAGUUUGAGACAAGCCUGGCCAACAUGGCGAAACCCUGUCUCUACUAAAAAUACAAAAAUUAGCCGGGUAUGAUGGCAGGCACCUGUAAUCCCAGGUACUCAGGAGGCUGAGGCAGGAGAAUCACUUCAACCUGGGAGGUGGAGGUUGCAGUGAGUCAAGAUCGUGCCAUUGCACUCCAGCCUGGGUGACAUGAGCAAGACUCUUGUCUCAAAAAAAUAAAACAAAAUAAAAUAAAAUAAGCCAGGCAUGGUGGCAUGUGCCUGUAGUCACAGCUACUCAAAAGACUGAGGUGGGAGGAUCGCUUGAGCCCAGGAGGCGGAAGAUGCAGUGAGUCCUGAUCACACCAAUGCACUCAGUCUGGCUGACACAGUAAAAAAAAAAAAAAACCCCAGAAAUUGACGAUUUUACAUGAAGUCAGUUUUUUUAGAUAUUGGCAAUUAAUUAAAAUAAAACACACACACAGAGUAGGCUGCCUGGGGAAGGGAUGGGGCGGGGAUUGAGUGGCAAGGGACCCAAGGAACUUUUGGAAGUGCUGGAAAUAUUCCCGUUACCCAGGUGUAUUUGUUAAAAUAUGUCACACUGAUACGGUUAGGCUUUGUGUCCACACCCAAAUCUCAUCUUGAAUUGUAAUCCCCAUAAUUCCCAUAAUCCCCACACGUCAAGGGAGAGACCAGAUAGAGGUAAUUGAAUCAUGGAGCCGGUUUCCCCCAUGCUGUUCUUGUGAGAGUGAGUUCUCAUGAGAUCUGACGGUUUUAAUUUUAUUUUUAUUUGUUAUUAUUGUUUUUGAGAUGGAGUCUUGCUGUGUCACCCAGGCUGGAGUGCAAUGGCACGAUCUCGGCUCACAGCAACCUCCGCCUCCCUGGUUAAAGCAAUUCUCCUGCCUCAGCCACCCGAGUAGCUGGGAUUAGAGGCGCCUGUGCCACCACGCCUGGCUAACUUUUUGUAUUUUUAGUAGAGAUGGGGUUUCACCAUGUUGGUCAGGCUGGUCUUGAAUUCCUGAUCUCAGGUGAUCUGCCCGCCUUGGCCUCCCAAAGUGCUGGAAUUACAGGCGUGAGCCACCGCGCCCAGCGAGAUCUGACAGUUUUAUAAGAGGCUCUUCCCUCUUUGCUUGGCACUUCUCCUUCCUGCCGCCAUGUGAAGAAGGUGCCUGUGCCCUUUGCCUUCUGUCAUGAUUAUAAGUUUCCUGAGGCCUCCCCAGCCAUGCUCAACUGUGAGUCAAUUAAACUUCUUUCCUUUAUAAGUUACCCAGUCUUGGGCAGUUCUUUAUAGCAGUAUGAAAACAGACUAAUACACACACCAUACGCUCCAAAUGGACAUCUGUUAUUGAAUGUCAAUGAUACCUCAAUAAAGUUAGCUAAAUAGAAAAGGGAAUUGGGAAUGGGAAACUCACAGAAGCCCAAGGAGAAGUGUUGGGACCUAGAAUCAAUUUACAUUUUUUUUUUUGAGUAAGGGUCUCACUGUAUCGCCCGGGCUGGAGUGCAGUGGCACAAUCUCGGCUCACUGCAACCUCCACUUCCCAGGUUCGAGUAAUUCUCGUGCCUCAGCCUCCUAAGUAGCUGGGAUUACAGGUGCACACCACCACGCCCAUCUAAUUUUUAUAUUUUUAGUAAAGACGGGGUUUCGCCAUGUUGGCCAGGCUGGUCUGGAAUUCCUGGCCUCAAGUGAUCCACCCACCUCAGCCUCCCAAAGUGCUGGGAUUACAGGCCUAAACACCUUCCUCCCCUUUCCCUAUGUCCUGCACCUCUUCUUACCUAAGUGUAUCGGCACCUGAUUGUCCAGCUGAAUCAUUUUAUUCCGCGUGGGAGCCCGAGUUGGUGUGAUCGUUUAUAGUACUAUGUGUGCUCACCCUUGAGUGGUUGUACUAUUGUGUUAUUAGCCCCCUUUUAUGGAUGGAGGAACUGACACACAGUUGUUGGGGGAAAAGCCAGAAUCCAGAGUCACACAGCCUGGCUCUGUGUUCUCCGACACUGCUGCCUGCACUGCGGCUGCUAUCGGGGAGCAGGUGCUGGGAACCUGCUGCUUAGGGGACAGCUAGUGUGGCUGCAUCUACAGGCCCUAGUAUGGAACACAUUGCUAAGAAGCAGGCUCCUAGCACAGCCCCGUGGACUGUGUUGGUGGCAUUCAGAGGCCACCUUCCUGCCUCGGCUGCAUUCACUAAAAUGAAAAUUACCAGGACUUUGUGCUUUUCAGGGAAAGCCUGGCUGCCUCCCACUGUGUCCUUGAAAGCUUGGCGUUCCAGCCCUGCCUGGUUAUCACCACCUAUGAAAUCCAUUUACUUGUUACACCAGCGGUUCUCAAGUCUGGCUGCACACUGGAGUCAGCUUUAAAAAAUACUGAAGCUUUGGGUUCCACCCUGAGGUUCUGAAUUAAUUGACCUGGGGUGAGUCCUGAUAUAGAAGCUUCAGAAGCCUCCCAGGUGAUUCUAAUGUGGCCAAGUUUCGGAAUCAUUGCUUUAAACUUUCAACUUACCUUUUUUUUUGAAGACAGAGUCUCGGUUUGCUGCUCAGGCUGCAGUGAUCACAGCUCACAACUCCUGGGCUCAAGUGAUCUCUCCACCGCAGCCUCCUGAGUAGCUGGGACUACAGGGACCAUGUCACCAUGCCCAGCUAAUUUUUUACUAUUUUUUUUUUUCAGCUGGGUGCAGUGGCUCACGCAUGUAAUCCCAGCACUUUGGGAGACCAAGGAGGGCAGGUCACCUGAGGUCGGGAGUUCAAGACCAGCCUGGCCAACAUGGUGAAACCCUGUCUCUACUAAAAUUACAAAAAUUAGCUGGGAGCGGUGGUACAUGCCAGUAAUCCCAGCUACUCUGGAGGCUGAGGCACGGGAAUCACUUGAAUCCAGGAGGUGGAGGUUGCAGUGAGCCAAGAUCAUGCCACUGCACUCCAGCCUGGAUGACAGAGUGAGAUGCUGUCUCAGAAAAAACCAAACCAAACCAUAUAUAUAGUUUUUUUUCAGCCCAGGCUAACCCCAGACCUAUCUUAAAUGUUUCACUGAGGAUGGCUUUCUCGAAACUUAUUCAUGUUGCCUGUCCUGCUUCAGACAGGCUCCCCAGGAAAGGACCCAGAGGUCUGCACUUCUGCUGGGCUCACAUCUGCCAGUCAAUGUCAGGAAUGUGCUUUGUUUCUGCUGGGUCAGGAAGUUUAGUCACAGUUGGCUUUCCUUAUUUGGGGCCUCUGUGUCUCCAGGGUCAAUGUGGUAAACCGCUCAGUCCAGCCUGCAAUGGAAAUGGCUCCAACCCCAGCCCAGCAGCUUCCUUUCAGGGUGGUGUGGACUGGAAGGGAUCCUAUCUACCUGUGUUUGCCAUCUAACCUCAAGAGUGAUAAAUGAGGUUCACCUCACAGUCAGGAAAUGUUGACAUUAAACCAAAC